rnacentral:rRNA from 1 species
GUCUAGCGGAUGACGGGAGCUUGCUCCUUGAUUCAGCGGCGGACGGGUGAGUAAUGCCUAGGAAUCUGCCUGGUAGUGGGGGACAACGUUUCGAAAGGAACGCUAAUACCGCAUACGUCCUACGGGAGAAAGCAGGGGACCUUCGGGCCUUGCGCUAUCAGAUGAGCCUAGGUCGGAUUAGCUAGUUGGUGGGGUAAUGGCUCACCAAGGCGACGAUCCGUAACUGGUCUGAGAGGAUGAUCAGUCACACUGGAACUGAGACACGGUCCAGACUCCUACGGGAGGCAGCAGUGGGGAAUAUUGGACAAUGGGCGAAAGCCUGAUCCAGCCAUGCCGCGUGUGUGAAGAAGGUCUUCGGAUUGUAAAGCACUUUAAGUUGGGAGGAAGGGCAGUAAGCUAAUACCUUGCUGUUUUGACGUUACCGACAGAAUAAGCACCGGCUAACUCUGUGCCAGCAGCCGCGGUAAUACAGAGGGUGCAAGCGUUAAUCGGAAUUACUGGGCGUAAAGCGCGCGUAGGUGGUUUGUUAAGUUGGAUGUGAAAGCCCCGGGCUCAACCUGGGAACUGCAUCCAAAACUGGCAAGCUAGAGUACGGUAGAGGGUGGUGGAAUUUCCUGUGUAGCGGUGAAAUGCGUAGAUAUAGGAAGGAACACCAGUGGCGAAGGCGACCACCUGGACUGAUACUGACACUGAGGUGCGA